rnacentral:rRNA from 1 species
GUCAGCCGCCGCGGUAACACCGGCGGCCCGAGUGGUGAUCGUGAUUAUUGGGUCUAAAGGGUCCGUAGCCGGUUGGUCAGUCCUCCGGGAAAUCUGAUAGCUCAACUAUUAGGCUUUCGGGGGAUACUGCCAGACUUGGAACCGGGAGAGGUAAGAGGUACUACAGGGGUAGGAGUGAAAUCUUGUAAUCCCUGUGGGACCACCUGUGGCGAAGGCGUCUUUCCAGAACGGGUUCGACGGUGAGGGACGAAAGCUGGGGGCACGAACCGGAUUAGAUACCCGGGUAGUCCCAGCCGUAAACGAUGCUCGCUAGGUGUCAGGCAUGGCGCGACCGUGUCUGGUGCCGCAGGGAAGCCGUGAGGCGAGCCACCUGGGAAGUACGGCCGCAAGGCUGAAACUUAAAGGAAUUGGCGGGGGAGCACAACAACGGGGUGGAGCCUGCGGUUUAAUUGGACUCAACGCCGGACAACUCACCGGGGGCGACAGCAAUAUGUAGGCCAAGCUGAAGACUUUGCCUGAAUCGCUGAGAAGAGGUGCAUGG